rnacentral:rRNA from 1 species
GUUGACCUCGGAUCAGGUAGGGAUACCCGCUGAACUUAAGCAUAUCAAUAAGCGGAGGAAAAGAAACCAACAGGGAUUGCUCUAGUAACGGCGAGUGAAGCAGCAAUAGCUCAAAUUUGAAAUCUGGCGUCUUCGGCGUCCGAGUUGUAAUUUGUAGAGGAUGCUUCUGAGUAACCACCGACCUAAGUUCCUUGGAACAGGACGUCAUAGAGGGUGAGAAUCCCGUAUGCGGUCGGAAAGGUGCUCUACACGUAGCUCCUUCGACGAGUCGAGUUGUUUGGGAAUGC